ACGUGCGGCACGUGUGCUGCUCCGGCGCGCUGUUUGUUUUUUAAGGAACGAAAUUUUGAUUUAUUUCAGAACAUUUUCUCUUCAUAAUGUCUGCCAAAAAUUCCCGCGGAAGAAGCAUGUUAGACAUGGUGCUGGGUAAGCUGGAUCGUCAAACAGAACCUUCUACUUCUACAGAAUUUAAUUCAAAUCAGAAAGAUGAAUCAUUUAGUCUGUUAUGUGAUGAAACCUUCCCAAGUUCUUUGAUGGAUAUAUCGCUAACAGAUGACAUUUGGAAUAGAAGAACCAUUCUACAAAAGGCCCCAAGAUAACAAUUUAUAUCAUGAAACACCUACAACUGAUUCCAGUCAUGCCGUAAAUAAUAAAUAUAGAGUCCGAAAAGUAUAUAUAUUGUUCCUACUAUUAAAUAAAUAUAUACAUGUCAGUUUAACUGAUGUUAAAAUAAAUGUUGUCUUAAUUAAACUAAAUUUUCUUCUA